rnacentral:rRNA from 1 species
CACCAGACUCCUACGGGAGGCAGCAGUGAGGAAUAUUGGUCAAUGGUCGGGAGACUGAACCAGCCAAGCCGCGUGAGGGAGGAAGGUACAGAGUAUCGUAAACCUCUUUUGUCAGGGAACAAAGGCGGGGACGUGUCCCCGGAUGAGUGUACCUGAAGAAAAAGCAUCGGCUAACUCCGUGCCAGCAGCCGCGGUAAUACGGAGGAUGCGAGCGUUAUCCGGAUUUAUUGGGUUUAAAGGGUGCGCAGGCGGUCUGUUAAGUCAGCGGUCAAAGCCCGGGGCUCAACCCCGUACUGCCGUUGAAACUGCAUCCCUUGAGUGCGCGAGAAGUAUGCGGAAUGCGUGGUGUAGCGGUGAAAUGCAUAGAUAUCACGCAGAACUCCGAUUGCGAAGGCAGCAUACCGGCGCCCAACUGACGCUGAAGCACGAAAGCGUGGGUAUCGAACAGGAUUAGAUACCCGUGUAAA